rnacentral:rRNA from 1 species
GAUGAACUCUGGCGGCGUGCCUAAUACAUGCAAGUCGAGCGAACGGACGAGAAGCUUGCUUCUCUGAUGUUAGCGGCGGACGGGUGAGUAACACGUGGAUAACCUACCUAUAAGACUGGGAUAACUUCGGGAAACCGGAGCUAAUACCAGAUAAUAUUUUGAACCGCAUGGUUCAAAAGUGAAAGACGGUCUUGCUGUCACUUAUAGAUGGAUCCGCGCUGCAUUAGCUAGUUGGUAAGGUAACGGCUUACCAAGGCAACGAUGCAUAGCCGACCUGAGAGGGUGAUCGGCCACACUGGAACUGAGACACGGUCCAGACUCCUACGGGAGGCAGCAGUAGGGAAUCUUCCGCAAUGGGCGAAAGCCUGACGGAGCAACGCCGCGUGAGUGAUGAAGGUCUUCGGAUCGUAAAACUCUGUUAUUAGGGAAGAACAUAUGUGUAAGUAACUGUGCACAUCUUGACGGUACCUAAUCAGAAAGCCACGGCUAACUACGUGCCAGCAGCCGCGGUAAUACGUAGGUGGCAAGCGUUAUCCGGAAUUAUUGGGCGUAAAGCGCGCGUAGGCGGUUUUUUAAGUCUGAUGUGAAAGCCCACGGCUCAACCGUGGAGGGUCAUUGGAAACUGGAAAACUUGAGUGCAGAAGAGGAAAGUGGAAUUCCAUGUGUAGCGGUGAAAUGCGCAGAGAUAUGGAGGAACACCAGUGGCGAAGGCGACUUUCUGGUCUGUAACUGACGCUGAUGUGCGAAAGCGUGGGGAUCAAACAGGAUUAGAUACCCUGGUAGUCCACGCCGUAAACGAUGAGUGCUAAGUGUUAGGGGGUUUCCGCCCCUUAGUGCUGCAGCUAACGCAUUAAGCACUCCGCCUGGGGAGUACGACCGCAAGGUUGAAACUCAAAGGAAUUGACGGGGACCCGCACAAGCGGUGGAGCAUGUGGUUUAAUUCGAAGCAACGCGAAGAACCUUACCAAAUCUUGACAUCCUUUGACAACUCUAGAGAUAGAGCCUUCCCCUUCGGGGGACAAAGUGACAGGUGGUGCAUGGUUGUCGUCAGCUCGUGUCGUGAGAUGUUGGGUUAAGUCCCGCAACGAGCGCAACCCUUAAGCUUAGUUGCCAUCAUUAAGUUGGGCACUCUAAGUUGACUGCCGGUGACAAACCGGAGGAAGGUGGGGAUGACGUCAAAUCAUCAUGCCCCUUAUGAUUUGGGCUACACACGUGCUACAAUGGACAAUACAAAGGGCAGCGAAACCGCGAGGUCAAGCAAAUCCCAUAAAGUUGUUCUCAGUUCGGAUUGUAGUCUGCAACUCGACUACAUGAAGCUGGAAUCGCUAGUAAUCGUAGAUCAGCAUGCUACGGUGAAUACGUUCCCGGGUCU